UUCUUGAGAAAAAAAAUGGAGUCUUGAUUUUGAUUCUUCUUCUUCCCCUUUUUGAUUAGGGUUGGAAUUCUGUUCAACUUCUUUUAUAUACCUUUUCUUGAAGUUUUUUUACUCGUUCUUGUUUUUAAUCAAGUACUAUUUUGAUCAGCAUUCAUUCAAGUGAUUUUUUCAUUAGUUCUUUUAAUCUUAAUUUGUUCAGGUUUUCUUGAUAUGGAUGUACUCAUUAUUAUACCCAGUUCUAAGUAAUUGUAAUUCCUAUGAUGAACUAGGUAAUUGUAAUUCCUAUGAUGAACUAGGUAAUUUUUGAAGAUGCAGAUGAAUACUCAGUACAUGUCAUCAUCAAGCUUUGGUAUGUGGCAAAUUGCUCGUCAAGAGAUGAAAGAAUACUUGAAUCAGCAGCUCCUCCGUGGAUACCCCGAAUCUGCAAUCGAUGAUUUCAAUGAUAAACUAAUGUCGAAUGCUGGAUCAAUAGCAGAGUACAUGGAUCAAGAUACAUUGUCAAGACGCGUAAUGUGUAUCAAUGCUGUUAAUUCUCUACCGCCACCAACACAUGUAAUGCGUGCUGACAAUUAUGAUUAUGAUUCUGGUAAUAAUGGCUUCAGGGAACCUAUGGCUAAUUGGCCAUCACACUCUAAUUACUAUGGUCAAAAUAGCACGAGUCUAUUGCAGAAUGAUGGCAUGGUUCCUCUUCCUCCUAAUUUUGGAAACACAUCAGCAUUGCAACAACAGCAACCAAACUAUCUAUUCGGCUCCACGGAGAGAUCUUAUUAUGAUUCUCAGAUGCUUCUUGAUAGUAGUACUCAUGGGAGGAGUAGUUUUGGAGCUACACAAAUUGGAAAUUCUGUAGGUUCUAUUGGAAGGUCAUUGCGGGAUCUCGAUCAGACAUAUGCACACCUAGGUGGAAUGAACCACUUCCCAAUGGGGACUUCUCGGGAAAACCUCCAAGGUAUGCUUCAAAAUACUGCUGCUCCAUAUCCCACUGUUCCAACUCCGUAUCCGUCGUAUACGCCAACUGAACAACCAUCUAUGGUUCAACGAUCAUAUAAGACUGGUAAGACCAGAAGGCAUCAACAGCCCUUGCAACAAACCCAGAGGACUACUAAGUCAGCAAAACGUGGCGUUACCCCUCGUUCAAAUGAAGUUUUUGGGUCUUCCCAGGACACAGGGUGCGAGUCCAAAUGUGAAUAUUGUGGUAAAAAUCCAACUCUAGUUGAUUAUUUCAUGAAGAGGACUGUGAAAUCAUUCAGAGACCAACAUCCCAAAUUAUGUAAGAAGCUGGACAAAUUGAAUGAGCAUUUGAGGAAGUGCAAUAAGCAGAAAUGUGGUUGCUCAAAGUUUCGCCCAUACUACCAGCAUGCUGUUGACCGUUUACGUGAUGGUUUCGAGGAACUUCAGAUUUCUCAAAAGAUAGCCCCUCAUUCACUGAAAAGUACCCGGGAGAUUGGUGAUGUAGGAGAUGGUGGCGAGGUCUCACGUAAAACUAUGAAGGUCGAUGGUGAAUUUGGUCCAGCACGUGCUUCAGUCGACCAGAUUACUUCCCAAGUAGAGCAGUGAUGGAUUCUACAUGGGAUUGGUCUGCAAAUUCCAUUGAUAACUUUUGUGCCUUACCAAUGUCACUUGAUGACCAUGCUCAAGGAGUAAAGACCGUGAAGCUUAAGACAGAUGGUGCAUCUCAGAGUGAAUCAUUCUCUCCAGUGCAGACGCCUCACUCGAGUAUCACGCAGGAAGUUAACCAGGAACCACUACAAGCAGACUCCUCCAUAGGCGAUUAAACUCAGCUGGAGAAGCAAAAACCGAAGACCUAUGGUGCUGAAGAGAAUUUGGUGUGAGGAUGACAGUAGUAGAGUAGCGAUGUCGAUGAUGCUAGUUUUGUGAUUAUGGUUGUCAAAUAUGGCUGACAUAUACCAGGCUUGGGAACUGACUUUUUACUUCUUACACAACAAACCUUUUGUUAAUAGUAGUUGUGCUUUCUUUCUGUGCAGUUUAGAUUGACAUUUGGAAAUACUGGAUUUAUGAAAUGCUAAGUCUGUUAAUAUG